GGGGAUUUAGCUCAGUGGUUAGAGCUCUUGCCUAGCAAAUGCAAGGCCCUGGGUUCGAUCCCCAGCUCUG
rnacentral:tRNA from 1 species